AGUCUGGUGCCAGCAGCCGCGGUAAUUCCAGCUCCAAUAGCGAAUAUUAAAUUUGUUGCAGUUAAAAAGCUCGUAGUUGGAUCCAAGGUUAGGCAUGCCUGUCUGUUCUUAGUAGCAUGACUGUGUGUGUCUGCCUUUAUUAGUUGAAUGUUCAUUAUGGUGGUCUUCAUCGACUGCUAUGAUGUGCUCAACACGUUUACCUUGAAAAAAUCAGAGCGAUCAAGGCAGGCCUUCGUGCUUGUAUGUUGUUGCAAGGAAUAAUAGAAUAGGACUUCGGUUCUAUUUUGUUGGUUUUGAGAAUUGAAGUAAUGAACAAUAGAGACAGUCGGGGGCAUUUGUAUGGUGGCGUUAGAGGUGAAAUUCUGAGAUCGUCGCCAGACAAACUACUGCGAAAGCAUUUGCCAAGGAUGUCUUCAUUAAUCAAGAACGAAAGUCAGAGGUUCGAAGACGAUCAGAUACCGUCCUAGUUCUGACCAUAAACGAUGCCGACCUACAAUCGGGGGUGGUUUAUUAUAUUGACCCUCCCGGCUGUCCUCAGGAAACUUUAAGUUGGUUCUGGGGGGAAUAUGGUCUCAAGACUGAAACUUAAAGGAAUUGACGGAAGGGCACCACCAGGAGUGGAGCCUGCGGCUUAAUUUGACCCAACACGGGGAAUCUCACCCGGUCCGGACACUGGUAGGAUGGACAGAUUGAUAGCUCUUUCUUGAUUCAGUGGGUGGUGGUGCAUGGCCGUUCUUAGUUGGUGGAGUGAUUUGUCUGGUUAAUUCCGAUAACGAACGAGACUCUGUCCUGCUAAAUAGUCCAGUGGCAUCAAUCACUAUGUGAUUACAGCUGCUGUUACUUCUUAGAGGGAUUCGCGGAUUUAAACCGCAAGAAAUAGAGCAAUAACAGGUCUGUGAUGCCCUUAGAUGUCCGGGGCCGCACGCGCGCUACAUUGACAGUAGAAGCGAGUAUUUCUACCUGGUUCGAAAGAAUUGGGAAAUCUUCGAAUUACUGUCUCCACAGGGAUUGAGGUUUGCAAUUUUGCCUCAUGAACGAGGAAUUCCCAGUAGGCGCAAGUCAUCAGCUUGCGUCGAUUACGUUCCUGCCCUUUGUACACACCGCCCGUCGCUACUACCGAUUGAGUGCAUUAGUGAGGACCUCGGAUUGAGAACAUAGUGGCGCAAGUUACUUUGUUUUCGAAAAGUGGUUCAAAUUUGUGCAUUUAGAGAUAGUAAAAGUCGU
rnacentral:rRNA from 1 species